rnacentral:rRNA from 1 species
UACAGAGGUCUCUAGCGUUGUUCGGAUUCAUUGGGCGUAAAGGGUGCGUAGGUGGCGCCGUAAGUCAGGUGUGAAAUUUCGGAGCUUAACUCCGAAACUGCAUUUGAUACUGCGGUGCUUGAGGACUGGAGAGGAGACUGGAAUUUACGGUGUAGCAGUGAAAUGCGUAGAGAUCGUAAGGAAGACCAGUGGCGAAGGCGGGUCUCUGGACAGUGACUGACACUGAGGCACGAAGGCGAGGGGAGCAAACGGG